rnacentral:rRNA from 1 species
UAGCGGGAGGCCUAACACAUGAAUGCCGAGCGGUAGAGAUUCUUCGGAAUCUUGAGAGCGGCGUACGGGUGCGGAACACGUGUGCAACCUGCCUUUAUCUGGGGGAUAGCCUUUCGAAGGGAAGAUUAAUACCCCAUAACUUUUUGAAUGGCAUCAUUUAAAAUUGAAAACUCCGGUGGAUAGAGAUGGGCACGCGCAAAAUUAGAUAGUUGGGGAGGUAACGGCUCACCAAGUCUACGAUCUUUAGGGGGCCUGAGAGGGUGAUCCCCCACACUGGUACUGAAACACGGACCAAACUCCUACGGGAGGCAGCAGUGAGGAAUAUUGGACAAUGGGUGAAAGCCUGAUCCAGCCAUCCCGCGGGAAGGACGACGGCCCUAUGGGUUGUAAACUUCUUUUGUAUAGGGAUAAACCUACUCUCGUGAGAGUAGCUGAAGGUACUAUACGAAUAGCAUCCGGCUAACUCCGUGCCAGCAGCCGCGGUAAUACGGAGGGUGCCAGCGUUAUCCGGAUUUAUUGGGUUUAAAGGGUCCGUAGGCGGAUCUGUAAGUCAGUGGUGAAAUCUCACAGCUUAACUGUGAAACUGCCAUUGAUACUGCAUGUCUUGAGUGUUGUUGAAGUAGCUGGAAUAAGUAGUGUAGCGGUGAAAUGCAUAGAUAUUACUUAGAACACCAAUUGCGAAGGCAGGUUACUACGCAACAACUGACGCUGAUGGACGAAAGCGUGGGGAGCGAACAGGAUUAGAUACCCUGGUAGUCCACGCCGUAAACGAUGCUAACUCGUUUUUGGAUUUUCGGAUUCAGAGACUAAGCGAAAGUGAUAAGUUAGCCACCUGGGGAGUACGUUCGCAAGAAUGAAACUCAAAGGAAUUGACGGGGGCCCGCACAAGCGGUGGAUUAUGUGGUUUAAUUCGGUGAUACGCGAGGAACCUUACCAAGGCUUAAAUGGGAAAUGACAGGUUUAGAAAUAGACUUUUCUUCGGACAUUUUUCAAGGUGCUGCAUGGUUGUCGUCAGCUCGUGCCGUGAGGUGUUAGGUUAAGUCCUGCAACGAGCGCAACCCCUGUCACUAGUUGCCAUCAUUAAGUUGGGGACUCUAGUGAGACUGCCUACGCAAGUAGAGAGGAAGGUGGGGAUGACGUCAAAUCAUCACGGCCCUUACGCCUUGGGCCACACACGUAAUACAAUGGCCAGUACAGAGGGCAGCUACACGGUGACGUGAUGCAAAUCUCGAAAGCUGGUCUCAGUUCGGAUUGGAGUCUGCAACUCGACUCUAUGAAGCUGGAAUCGCUAGUAAUCGCGCAUCAGCCAUGGCGCGGUGAAUACGUUCCCGGGCCUUGUACACACCGCCCGUCAAGCCAUGGAAGUCUGGGGUACCUGAAGUCGGUGACCGUAACAGGAGCUGCCUAGGUAA